CAAUUUAUAGGCAUUUAGGGGCGAGAGCCACCUGGAGCCAGUGGGGGUAACUGCUCCAACUGGAUUUUGGACCUGGGUAUUUCACCGAUUGCACAUGAGGGACAAGGAGAAAACCAUAAACAACCGAAUAAAAAAUUUAUGAGAAAUAUUGCGGAGAAAUUCACUUUUUUCUAGAGGAAGAUCGCCAUCAAGAAACAACAAUUUUAGGGGGAAAAAAUCUAGGGAGUUGAGUUGAAAUUAAAUCAUUCACAACAAUCAGAUGGAGUGCGAUUUCAACAUAUAAAGCUACCUUUGGAGUUCGGUGACGAAGAAGUUGAGUAAAAAUCAUGCAACACAAGAUACCACAGGUCUCCCUCUUUCGGGUUUGAAACAGGUCUUUAUUGUUGGAUAUGCAUGGCUUUUAAUUUGGGCUUUGCAAGAUUUUAUUCCCUAAAAGAAAAGAGGAAACCAUAGAAUGUAGUUCUAAUCCAUUCUUCUAAUGGGCCUAAAGUAUGUAAGUAGUAAGCCCUAAUCAAGAUUGGGAUAAUUAGGCCCACUACUUUAAAAAGGAAACUAAUUAGAAUAAUAUACUUAAAACAUAAAUUAUGUCUUUAGUCACCGUAUAAAUCGCGCUCUUGAUUGGCCUGUGUUCAGUCUCUCUCUUUUUUACUCUCUCCAUUGCACUCCACCCCUCAAAUGGCUUCGAAAAGGGCCCUCUACAAACUCUCCUUUGAUAACCACAUCUCGAUGCCAUUGCAACCCUCUCGCUAUCACCUUAUUCAGCCACUCAAGGCUAUCAUUCCACAUCUCGCCACCGUUGCUGCAAUUGAGUCCUCUGUUGUUAUACCUGCUAAAACUAAGUUGGGUCUUUUAAGAAUUGCAAAUGGGUCUUCGUUAUCAACCAAGGACAGGCACACUAAUGUAAAUUGGGCAGGACCCUCAAGUGAGAAUAUUGGCUUUUUGUGCACCGCCCACGUGUUCCAAGUAACGUGUGAGCUUGGCCACCACUCCGACGAGGAGAUUAUUAAAUGGCUUCUUCGCCAAGCCGAACCUGCUAUCGUCGCUGGCACCGACAUCGGUACCGAAACUGUACCUACAGACAACAUUUCCGCUGUCCCCAAUAUUUCCCGCUCCGCCACCUCUGUACAGGCUCCAGUGAAUAGGGUGCUGCAAUCAACGCUUUCACUAAGCUGUAGACUAGACUCUGCCACGUUUACAUAAUUGGAUCAUUUAAGGAAUAAGUUAAAAAUGGUUAUCAUCUCGAUUUGAUAAUUUGAAUUCUGUAUGUGGUCAAAUGAUGAACGAGCAUGAGAAAUGCGUACAUUAUUGAUAAUUAUGCCAGUCACAUUAUUUUUAUAAAAAUGUAUUUUUGAAUAGUAUAUUGAUGUACAAUGUUUGAUUAAA
rnacentral:lncRNA from 1 species